ensembl:lncRNA
GAAUUUUGUUCUUCUGUUGGGUUUCUCGAAUCUUAACUGUUAUAUGCCUAUGUGUAGAUUUUUUUUUGAUCAUGGCUAGCUGGAGUCCUAUAUGCCUCACUUAUCUCUAUGUCAAAUUCUUUCCCCCUCCUUGGGAAGUUUUCUCCCAUCACUUUUGUGAACAGUUCUUUUAUGUCAUCUGCUCUCUCUCCUGCUUCUUCAUUGACUCUCAGUCUUAGGUUAUUCUUCUUUGCACUGUCUAGCAGCUGCUGGAUUGAUUUCUCGUGUUCCUUUACAAUUUUAAAGCAAUUUUUCUUUUCCUGGUCACUAAUUGUAAUCUUUUCUUCUAUAUCUGAAAUUCUAUCCUCACAGUGGUUCAUUCUGCUGUGCAGACUUUCGAUGGAGUUUUUAAUCUCUUGGAAAUCUGUUUGUAUCUGUUUUAUGGAUUCCAUUUAUUUCCUAUGUUGGGAUUCCAUCAUGUUCCUCAGCUCCUCUAUUUUUUUUAUCUGUGUCUUCUCUAGAUUUAUUAAUCAUGUCUUGCACCAUGAGCACAAUCUUUGCUGUUAUCUGAGUAAUUAUUUCUGAUUUCAUUUUUUCCAGAUCCUCUUUUGUUGCCAGUUCAGGGAGUCCAGGUAGUCGAGUAUCAGAGUGUUCCAUCUCGUUACCCUUUGGGGUUAUUGUAGGUGAUCCAGAAGUCUGUUUUUGAGGCUUGCUUACGUGUUUUCUCAUUUCUACGGGGGGCAGGGGGUGCUUCUGGACCCCACACGGCUUGGGAUGGUGGCGGGGGAGCUUCCUUUUGGGUGCUGGGACUGGCUCAGCUUCUAUGCCCUAGGAGCUUGGGAUGGCGGCAGGGGAGCUCACCUUUUUUCUUAUAUGUUGAUUAUCUUGGAUAUUUUAUCACAACAACAGAAAUCUGACUAACAGCAAUCUUCUACCAAUCUCUUGGAAACAAAAUGUGGUUCGGGUAGUGACUGGUUAUUCAAUGAGAUCAAAAAUGGUAGUUUUACUGCUGGAUGUCAAUUUGUGGGUAAAUCUAAGAGGGUCAGUGUUGCAUUUUAGAUAAGCCCAGGUAGGAUCUAAUUUGGGCUCCACAUGUACUCUAAAUAGACCUUUGGGAGUAGGGAAGGAAUGGCAGUUGAAGAAGUAAGACUUCUGUGGCAAGUAUUUCUCCUCUGAGAUGAAAUACAAGGAUGCCGUGAGAAAUAGACAAGAUGGCUACUUAGCACCAGAAUGAACUACAGGGACUCCAGCUGCCUUUAUUGACCCGUUUCCCAGAAUUUGAGAAUCCCAGGCAUUCUGCCUACAUAAAGGCUGGUUCUUCAGCCACAGCUGACAUGAGAGUUAUAAACCAGUGGUUGAGAGGAGGGAUGUAUCAGACUCUGGGGCAGUAGCUAGUCGGGAGGGUUGUCAGACAAAUGUUUCUUAAGGAUUACAUCCUCAGGGUCUUCCUAUGAACACAUAGCUCAAUGUGUUUAAAAGACCCUGACCUACCUUUGGAGGCAAAGAUAUUAGGCCAAAAAUAAAAAAUAACAACAUGCCAAGACCAGAGCUUCUGUGGGACCCCAACUAGUUUAGCUUUUUUGUUAUCUUGGUGUUGAGAUCUGAUUACAUUUUGAGAUAAAAAAACAUGGGCAACAUCCUCAAAUACAUGAAAUCAAAAGUCAUAGUCUUUUUCAGCAUAAAAGUUUGUGAAAAGAAAAAGUUAUGCUGGUACCAAACCUCUGGUUAACAACAGGACCACCUUGUGAUUUGGCCUCCUUUAGGUGAGACACAAAAUGAAUCUAUAAGCAAGUUUAAGGAAACCCCAGAACAAAAAGAAAACUUCCAGCAAUAUGAGAAUGGGUGAGGAACCACCCUGCUCCAGGAUACUUUGAAGGCUCCAUAGAGUUGUUUCUAAUGGAAAGUGUGUUGGGUUUCUUUGGUCUUAUGUGUGUUUUAUAACUGGAUCAUAAAUUGGUCAUGGACCUUAUCCUCAUUCUCAGAGGAGAGUCUUGGACAACAAAGGCAGGACGGCCAGGCUCAGGACAGGGUACCCAUGUAGCUCUUUUCCCUGGUUGUUGGUUAAGAACCACGAGAGAGACAUUAGCUUUCUCAGACCCCACACCCCUGAUCAAUAUAGCACACCCAUGGUGUCUCUGAUGGGAAUGAGAGUGUCAACAAGGGAAAAGCAUUGUGGGCAUGUAUGUACCCAUUUUGGGAAUUCAUUCAAUAUACUGUGGUCCUUUUAUGUCUUAUCUCUGAAGUGCUUUAUUACUUUUUGUGAAAUACUUUCUGAAACAUAGUUAUGUCUGUAAAAGGGCUUUUCAAGAGUAUUUAUAGGUACAUAUUUGUGCACAUGUAUUUCUAUUAUAUUUAUUUUAAUUUUCAAUUGAUCACUGAUUCCAAAUUAUGUAAUGGUCAGCAGAAAUGAAAAUCAUGAUGAUUUUAUGGAAUUUAAAAAAACCUGAAACCAGUAGCAUGAGUCUUUCUUCAGUUCAUACUUAUCAUAUUGGCUAAUGGGGUUAUAGAUUAUUGUUACUGAUAAGUGAAUGUAAAGAGUUUUAAUGUAUCGACCAUACUUCAUUAAAAUAAAAGCAAUUCUGUAACCAAGAAAACAAGAAUAGACAAUUGAUCAUAGAGAGUGGAACCUUAAAUUGUGGUUAAAUAUUUUGUGAUUCAUGCAAUUUAAUCAAUAAGAAAAUCAAAAGCCAGUAAUGGCAAUCUAAUUUUUAAAAAUUUCUUUGGGAAAUUUAAUGUAAAAAAUUGGUAAAACUCAAUACUUAAAGUGAUAUAAAUAAUAAAAAAGAAUCCAACAGUAAAUUUACUAAGAAAAAUUGUACUAUGAAUAAACACAUAAGUUAAAUAAUUUACUUUAUUUUUGUUUGUUUUAAUAUUUUUGUAUGCCAAUUACAAUGUUGAGAAUCUACUCUGAAUGCAACUAUGACCCCAACUAUAAUCUCAACCCUAACUCUAACCCCAUUCCUAACUCUAUCUGAACCUGAACCCUAAUCCUCACCCUAGCCCCAAUGCUAACCCUUUGUCUGCCUUAAUAUUUACCAUGCUCAGUGAUAAUGCCACUAAUUUAGGCACAAUCUUACCACAAAUGCAGCAUUUGUUGUAUCUUUUUAUGAAUCCGAGUGUGAGGUAGUGUUAACAUUCCCUUCCCAGGAAAGAGAAAACUUGUGCACAGAAAGGUUAAGUGCCUUGUGUGAAUUCAGGCAGGGCUGCCAUGUCUCCUCAGCUUCAGCAUGCUGUUCCAUUUAUUAUUUCUCUUUAUUGCCUGUGUGCUGGCAAUAAAGUCGGGGUCAUAAAAUUACAGUGCAGUCACCCUGUAUGGUUUCCCAAAUUUUCAUGUCAUGUUGGGAAGCUCGAAAGUGCCUGAUCAAUGCCAGUAGAUAAUCUCAACAAUCUUAGUUCAGAGUUGAGUAUGUUGACAGAACACAAUUCAAAAACUAUGGGGUGUGGUAAAGCAAAGUUUGACAUUUUGAGAGCAAACAUGCUUUGUAUGGAGGUGUUAGUAAUUGAAGGCAAACGUGCAAUCUUAAGAGCUUUUCUUUUGCAUGAGAAGCAUGUAAGGCAGUCUGGGACCCCUGUGGCCUGGGACCACCCAGGGAGAGACACACAGGGAGAGAGGGGUGUUAUCACCAACAGGCAGCAGCUUGGGACCUGCUCAGGCAUCUGCCUUGCCAGCAACACGUCUGAGCCUGAGCAGGCUGCACAAAGUGGCCACCCUGCUCUGUCCCCAGCAGCCUCCUGAAGCCUCAGCCAACCAGCAGGUGGUUUGACGUUUUCUCUACCUGUACUCCUUCCUAAGGGACAAGGAGUGGCUGUCUUUGAAGAGGGAAAACUCAAGGAGUUCUAACCACAGAAGUAUCAAAGAAGUUUUCUUUCUUGUUCUUCCAGAGCAGAGAUCUAAUUUAAAGAAGAAAAAGAAAAACCAAACAAACACUUCCCCCCACAUGCCUGAAAAUAAUAUUCUUCCAAAGUACACCAUCUAAAAAAUAUACCUGUCGUUAUUGCAGUGCCGGGAAAUAGCUCAUGGUACUGAUAACCACCUCUUAGUCAUUGCUACUUGUACACAGUCAUGUGUGAUUUUUACAGCAGCCCCAUGGGGUGGGUACAGUGAUAUCCCCACAACACAGAUGGGAACAGGUAACUCUACCAACUUAAGGUCAUACGCUACUAAUUCUAGCCUGAGUCUGGCUGACUGUCAAGCUCAUGCUAUUGACCCCUAUGCAGAAUUUUGUCCCUGAACCUAAUGCUCUGGCCUGGGUAGCAAUGACUACAUCCAAAAAUGGGGCAAUUGCCCUUAUCUCGGAGUUAUUUUGGCCUGCAUCCCCCAGGAACAUUGACCUAUUUGAUGGUCACGGCUUAUUACUGGCCUCCAGUGGAAAGAAGCCAAUAUCCUAUACUGAGCAGGACAAUCUCACAGGACAGAGAAUUACUGUACUGAAAACAUCCAUAGUGUCAGGUCCACAAACUCUGCCAUGGGAGAUUCUGUUUCAUGACAUUUAGAUUUGAUGUGUCUUACUAGGUUGUGAAUAACUAGAAAGCGAGGAAACUGGAUGGUGAAAGUCAAAGCACUCCCACGCAUGGGUCCAUGUGCAUAAAAGAAUUUGAAAACAGAACAAAGCUCUACAGUGCUUUCUCCUUAAACCUAGGGCUGGGUGCAGUGAACAACUGAUAGGUGCCUUCCUGGAAUCUUGUCACAACUUUCUCUUCUCUCCUUGCAGGGGCUGCCGCUGGCUCUCUAGGGGAUUCUGGUGAGGGGAUGGCAUGGAAGCUCAAUGAUCAGGCCAUUAGCUGGGAUUGAACUCAAGACCUUGCGCUUGUGAGGCAGGCACAAUGCCACUGAGGAAUUGAACCCAUGGGCUCAUGCAUACCAAGCAUAUGCUCUACUACUAAGCUACACCCCCAGCUGAAAGACAUAUUUAUCUAAGUAAUCAAAAGUCCAUUCAAAAAUUUGUUGAUGUCUUUUCUUUUACAUGGUACUGUGAAGCACCCAGACUGGUGAGUAGAGCCACAAAGGUAUGUGAAUAUAUUUCUAUAUUUUAUAACUAUGCAUGUAUCUUAAUUAUUUUUCUUGUUGCUGCGACAAAAUACCUGACACUCACAAGUUAAAGGAGGAAAAGUUUAUUUCAAGUCACAGUUUGUCGAGGUUUUAGUCCAUAGUUGAUUGGCUCCAAGGCAGGGUAGCAUGCUAGAUAGUCAUGGCAGAGGAGAAACAGUCCAAGGCAGGUCAGGCAGGGAGCAAUGAAGUAAGCCUCUCAUUCCCUUUUAUCCCAACCAGGCUACAAGCCUUCUGGGUGGUGCCACCUACUCCCAGGGUAGGCCUUUCCAUUAUCCAUAUCCAGAACUAUGCUAAACCAAUUAGUGGGCUAAUCCAUUACCACACACCCUUAAUCCCAGUAUCACAUACCCUAGAUCAGUCGUGGCAAAAUUAUGGCAUGUGUGCCACAGCAGGCACACAGAGCCCUCUCCAUCAGCACGCAAGCCAAGUUGCCCCAGCAGCCAAGCAUCAGAUAACAGUUGUUUUUUUCUAAACUAAAACCUCAGUAUUCAAGUUUAAUUGCAGUGUUGGCACUUUGUGAUAAAUAAGUAGGUUUUGUGUUGCAGUUUGGACACUCAGUCUCUAAAAGGUUUGCCAUUAUUGCCCUAGAUCCAGCCGGCUCCAAAAACCCCACCUAUGAGCCCAUGAGGCUUUAGGGGGACAUCUAGAUGCAAACCAUUGUAUAUAUAUUUCUAUCUAUUCCAUAAAAAUCUUUCUGGAUAUGAAUACAUAUAAGUACUUAUCAGAUAGAACUAUGUGGAAAAGGAGGCCAUGAAGGUCUCAGUCUUGGACAGAUGACUUUGGAGACAUCUCCAACCCCCUGGGGUGCUGGUGCAGAGUCCUGUGGCUGUACUGUGGCUUCAUUGAGGCCCUGGCACCUCUAUCUAGUGCCCAUAAGAUUCUUAUAGGUUGGUCUCUACUAUACUAGAGCUACAUGGGCACUCCGUGCCUCAUUGGAAAAACAAGCUGCGCACUUGAACUCCUCAAGUGCCAAAGUAGUGUGUGAUCUAUGGGCUCAGGUCAACUGGCAGGGGCUGCUCACUCUGGAGGGGGUAAUCCCACCACAGGCUUGGGAGCCCCAGAUAUUAGGUUAGCUUUCAGAUAAGCCUCAGAGUAUCAACUGACUGCCUCUAAUCUUUCAUCUUUAGAAUGAGGAGCCAAGGAAAUUUGCCUCAUAGCAUGAGUGAUGCAGGGUCAGGCCCAUAGGUCCUCAUUAGGGAUGCAGUAAUGACAACUCUGGAUAAGCACUCAGGGUCCCCCAGCAUGGUACAGGGGAAGAGAGCAUAAACAGAAAAAUUAGUGGAUGCUAUUACUUGUUUUUUAGGAUUUGAAUAGAUUUGAUUAAUAAAACUGGAUCUUAAAGAAAACUCUAGGUUUGGCUGUGGUUUGGACUGAUGACCUUUGAAGUUCUUCCUGAGUUUAGAACUCUGCAACACAAACCACAGCACACAGUGUUCUCCUUCCUUUCCUGGCAUAUACAUCACCCAAGGCCCUGCCUUUUGAUUCAAUCAGCACAUAUUUACCGAACAUCUGCUAGACACUAAAGCUUAUCCUAGGCCAGUCUACUUCAAAUGUUGCCUUCCACUGGCAUCAGUGUCACAUGGAAAUUUGAGAGGCAGGCCAACCCCAGGUCCACCCAAACCUGCUGAUCUAGAGCUGGGCCAGCACUGAACCUAAGGAGCCCUCCAGGUGACUGUGAUGCAGCCCUUCAGAGGCAGAAGCUGGGAUAGGAACAAAGGAGAAAACUGUGGAGUGUGACUUCCAGGGCUCUGGGCCUGCCUGGUAAGGAUCAUACAAUGUGCCGACACACUAGUGUUUAAAAACUAAACACACACACACACCUUUUCCAGCCAAUGAAAAUGAGGCCAGAAUGAUGAAAUGAUGAAUUUACGUUUUGGUGCAAUGUCACCAUGUCCUCUGAAGCUAGGCCACAUGUUAGGAAAUUCUGAAAUUCUGAAAUUGUUCAGUCAUCAUAUAAUAUUAUACUUUUAUCCUGAACAAGUUCUAAGAGCCUUGAUGAAGAGUUUUCUCCUUUCUUCUAGUUCAUAAUUACCUCCCACAGUAGAAUUUUGAUACUAGUAAAUAAAGCUCCGUGGUAUGGCCUCCGUCUGAAAACCAAGGGCAGCUGAAAAAUCCUCUUUUAAGUGCUGUUGAAAAGCAGGACCAGCUCUGUGCUGUGUCUUCCUUCCCUUCCCCUCCUCACCCCUCUCCCUCCUUCCUUUCCUCCCUCUCUUCCUUCUUUUCUCUCUCCUUCCUUCCUUCCUGUCAAAAAUGUUCAAUUUGAUGAGACCUUUCUACCUUCAGGUGCCUAUCUAAAUUUAUCUUGCACACAUAUAGUUUCUUUUAGAGCAAAGAAACAAUUGAGAAAUAGGGUUGUUUUACAAACACAUAUCAUGAUGACACAGCCUGUAUAGAUACUGGCUUUCUAAAUCCUCACCAACCUAUGUCAUAUGGUUGUUGUGCUUGCAGGUAGGACCACGGCCUGGAGAAGCAGAGCACCUUGCUUCACAUCCAGUUAGUAAAUGGGGGAGGAACCAGAGCCAAUAAACCCAGAGUUUCUUUGUUCCACCUCAAUACCUAGUGCCCAUAGGUGAAAUGUGCUCUGCUAUGGUCACGUCUUUUGCCUGGCUUGUUUUAUCUGUGCCCAGGAACGCUGAGUCUAGAGAGGCUAUCAAGGUAGGCCAGUUUUAUCUUUGACCUCUACUCCAUUGGCCUUGCUGUGUGUAGCUAUCUACUUGAGGUCACCAGUGACAAUAUGCUGUGAAAGAAGCUCUGAAGAUGGUCUCCAGAUAUCUGUAGCAGUAGAGAAAGCACCAGUUGUAGAACUUUAAAUGUCAAUCACCAGGCAGGCCACCAAGGACCCCAGGCCGCCUUCCUCUGAAUCAGGGCUCUGGUAGGCUACCAGGCACUAGGACUUGGGUCUCCACCCAAGUGGUGUUGACUUCUGCUGGAAAUCCAAGCAGGACUUACUGCAGCAAUUAGGGAAAAUACUGCCUUCUUCACAUGCCUUGAGACAGGGCCCAAGGAGAUUCCCCAAGCUGAGAUAUGAAACCUAACUCACCUACAUGUAGAAUAGAUUCAAAGUUUGCUGACUUCCAUCACAGAAAAAGAAUUUUCAGGCUCAGUCAGUAAGAGGCACAGGAAGGGUUUUAUUAGGCAGAAAUUAAAAAGUAUACCCUGAAAGAAAAGAAAUAGAGUGCAGGCUGGGGGGAGAGAGGGAGAGAG